UUGUAACUCUGGAAAAUAAGUUGCCUUGUUUAUUCUGCAAGCCAGGUCCAGCACAGGAAGCGACGCUGCAAGCUUUCCCAGCCUGACCUGCCGCAGCGACCACAAGCCAGAUCUGGAAGGACCACCCUGGGAAUAAGGAGCAAUUCAGAUUUCUUACCAGCUAAUUCCUGCAUCU
rnacentral:sRNA from 1 species